rnacentral:lncRNA from 1 species
GAUGAGAUCAGAGCAAUUUAAAGUAACAGCUCUUUGACAAGAAAAAAAAAAGAGACUAGAAAGGAAAACAAAGCUUUUGUAAAUAAGGAGGGGAAGAGGGGUUGAAGCAAGGGAAGGGGAAUGGGAAUAAAAAGAAGCAACAUAUAUCAUGUGCAGGUACAAAUUCCCCAUGAUGAAUAUUAUCAUGUGUAUCUAAAAUGUACCAAUCAAUGUUCUGCUUCAAAAAAAAUCUAAAAACUAAGAACAGAAAUAAAUUCCUAUGUGAACUACAAUGAGAAUACAAAUAACUUUAGUAAAGAAAUCAUCUUUACUUCAAUUAUCACACCUAAGGCAGUCUUCACAACUGUUCCAUACACAAGUCUCGCUCACACUGACAGCACGUGUGCUCAGCUUUCCUUUCCUGUGUGGCGGGCAUGCUUUUCACCUCUCUUGUCUUCCUUUUGUCGGGAGCUUCCUAUUAUAUUAUACAAAGUGCACUUACCAGCAAAAGGAAAUAUCAAUAACAUAAAAUAUCAAAUAGGUAAUGAGUGCUUAAACAUCUACAUUUCCUAAAACUAAAAACAAAAUAAAAUGUGCCGAUAAGAUUUUAAAAUAAAUAGAGUACCAGCCCUUUGUAGAAGAAGGAAUGCUUCCUGUGUUGGGAACUGGACUUGUGAUCUUUAGCAAGCUCCCUAAAUCUCUGUACCUGUUUCAUCAUCUGUAAAACGGGGCAAGGGUAAAUACACACCGCACAGUUAGGUGCUUGCUUCGGCUUCUAGGACAUAGCGGGAAGGGAAAGGGAGAGCAUGGCUAGAGAUCAAGUAAGUUUAUAACUUGUUGUAACAAAACAAGGAAAUUUUAUGUCUGGCUGGCCGCUAAACAGAAGGUAAAAUCAUUAGAUGAGAGUGGGUAGUGUGGAGCCAGAGGAAUCAGAGACAUGAAGACAUCUGCAAAGUUACAAAACAGUUAUUGUACAAAAAGAUAGACACGAUCACUAGAGAAACAUGAAGGAGGGCCAGACACCACGGACGCCUGUGAGGACGGGAUCAUGGCGACUCAGGACACAGGCUGGUGACCUUCAUCCUGGAUCAGGCAUAGGCAGCUGGAGCGCGUGGGAAGACCGUCUGCCAAGGCCAAGGCCAGUAACAGGGAUGUCCCUAGGGCUGCUAACUGAGGCAGGAGAGGCGGCUGCUCGGGGAUCACAGGGUCAGCCCUGGCUGAACAGUCACUGUGGGCUGACCUGAUAGCGCCAGACCUCCCACCCACUCUUCACCACCUCCUCCUCACCACCAGGGCGCCUGGGUCCUGGUUUCUGGGAGAUCUGAAUAACACCUCCCACUGGGUCCUGUCGUAAUGAUAUCAACUCUGUGGGUUGCCCCCUCCGCCCAGUACUGGAGACGGAACUUGGAGCCUCAGCGCUGAGACAUACUCAGUCUUCUGGUUUUUUGGUUUGAGACAAGGUUUUACUAAAUUGACCAGACUGGGGUCAAACUUUUGAUCCUCCUGCCUCAGCCUCCCUGAGUGCUGACAUGACAGGUGUGUGCCUCCAUGCCCAGCUGGUCCUCUUUCACCAUCCUCCCAAAGUUCGGAAAUGAACAUCGAUCCAGAUAAAAGCAAGCACACCACAGACUCUGCUCUAAACCCUUUGCUUCUAUCUGUAUUCCUAUGAUUAGAACAAUCCUAACUUUCCUUGACAUUAAAAUUUUCUUUUACGAGUUUCUGGUUCUUUCUCCAAAUUCUCCCUUUUGCUUUUUUAAUUCUUCGACACAGUAAUCAAUCAUACCUAUUUUAUUUUUUUGUUUGGGGAUUUUUUUAAUUUUUUUUUUUUGUUUCUUGAGACAGGGUCUUGCUACAUAGUUCAGGCUGUCCUUGAACUCACUAUGUAGCCCAGGCUGGCCUCAUUCACCCUCCUGCCUCAGCCUCCUGAGUGCUAGUAUUACAGGCAUGCACCACCACACCCGGUAAGGAAAUACUUUUAGCUUACAGAUUUUUACCCCCAAAAUGGU